AUUAAACUCCAAAAUUCUAUUUUUAUUCCUCUUAACCCUUUAUUCAGUACUCGUUUCCGUCUUUGUGAACAAUUGUUUUUAGUCUAUUCAAAAUGAUAUCUUGGGUUAGUAAAAAAAUUGAAGUUUGAAAGACGUAACCAUGUACCCGUGUCCGAAAUUUGGACACUUUUUAGUCAUAUCCCCAUAUCUUACAUUUUUAAAAUAAAAAAUCCGACACUUACAUAUGUACCCGUAUCCGUACUCUAGUCUGAGCAUCAUAGGUUCUAGCAGUAGUUCAAACUAAUGAAGACAAAGAUUACUUGUCAUAGUGGUCAAAGUAUAUUGUCUUAACAUUAGUAUGCUACCCAGCACAAUGAACCUGAAAAUAAAAUUAUGCUACUGGACAGAUUGCAGCAUGCUAGAACUAAUCUAUGUGACAACGGAUAUGCAGCAUAAUUAAGUCAUUUCAAUUCAACACUGCUUCAAUGCAAAACGUGGUUGAUAAUGAGCUAGCUAUUCACUGUGUCGAACACCUCAUGUUUAUAUUAGUCCAUCAUGAAGAUCCUUAGAUGUAACUGAGACCGUUACUCCACCAGUAAUUCAAACCAUAUUCCUUGCUCUAUGGGAUUCUGUUUGUUUUCCUUUUAAAAUUGCAGUAAACUUAGUUUACAAACAGAUAAUUCUAAGACCUCUUUUCGAUAAAAAAAUACUGUCUGAAUGAUUAGCUUAUUAUAUGAUGAUGAACAACUUGGAACAGUUUGCUAACUGGAGUUUUAGUAUUACUAUUUUAAAUUAUGUUGGCAUCAGAAUUAAGCAUUUGUUUAAUAUUUGUUAUGACGUCGUCUGCAGGUUAAGUUAUUUUACGUAUUCUCUCCCCUUUGGAUCUGGUAGUGAGGUCGUUCUUGGGUUCCAAUGAAAACAAUUGCAAUGUGCUUCUCUGUAUUGCAAAUUCCUCGGUGUAAAAUUCACACCUUAACUAGGUCUUGGCGGGGAAGUUUAUACAAGUUAGGUAGGGAUAGUGUCAGUAAUUCCAGCGUAGAGGUUCUUGGUUGUCACAGAUAUAAGCUUGAAGGAGGAUAUAGUAGAAAGUGGAUUAGAAGAUCUGUAAAUACGAAAACAGGGGGAAAAAAUGAGACCUUGAGCAGCAAAACUAGUCUCAGAUAUGAAAUGUCAGAAGAAACAAGUAGCAUUAAGUUAAAUACAUAUGAAUUAUAAACAACUGAACUGAAAAGAAGUCAAUCUUAUGUUUCACAAAAGAUUGCUGACAACAAAGACUUGGAAAGGCUUGUAACAAUUAUUGCUUUUGAUAAUGAAAUUACUGGAUUUGGCAGAGAGAAGGAUCGGGUUAUUGAGAUUGCCUUUCAAGAUCGACGAGGAGGAAAAAACAGUACUUUGUAAAUCCGGGACGUUAUGUGCCAAAUACACACAUUCAUGGUAUUUUCAAGCGAUAUGGUAAACAGAUCUGAUGUUCCCAAGUAUUUUAAUUACAGAAAUUGUUAAUGUUGUACAAAUGAUUGUGUAAAAAUAGUGCCUUUCUGAUCCACCUGGGUGGGAUUCUGUGUAUAAAUCUUUAAAUAUCUU
rnacentral:lncRNA from 1 species